GAAAGGCUCGUUUCACGGGACAUUAAAUUCCGACGUGGCACGUCCACUCGCGGAUAUAUUCCUAAAAGGUUGUUGCGUCUAGGAAAACGCGAACACGAAGGAAAAAUGGAUGAAGAGAAAAUAGCUGGGUGAAAUUGGUGGAAGUUUCUCCCUGGCUGAGCGAGGGGAUGAAACCCAGUGACGUGUCAAUCGAGUGUGAAACGUUCGACUUCGUGAUUCGAAGAAGUUUUCUUCUCUUCUCGUUUGCAUUACGUCACCAGGCGAAUCCGGUUGCCUGGAAUCGUGAAACGCUUCCGUCGACGAUCAACGUCGUCCGUGCGCAUCGCUGCUUCAGUUUCGAUGGCUGUUUGCAACCGAUUUCCCACGCGAAAAUAGUUCCUUCAUUGGUCAUCGUUUGAAUUUCCAGGGCAGGGAAAUCUUCGCUUGCACGGGACGAGUUCGAUUGGUUCGCUUGGAAAGGACUUACGAUGGGAUUGCCGACGCCAGGAUCGUUUACUUUUCGGGCUGUCUUCGGAGCUUGUAAUAAACGGAAAAUAGAUCGUGUAACCAUUAAGACGCCUUUAAGGUGGAAUCGCUAAUCUGGAUGGUCCAUCACUUUUCUUCGCUGAGCUCGAGCAGAAAGCUUUCCGAUUGACGUGCAACUUGCUGAGCAGAGUAAUUAAGGCUAGUGUGUCGAUGAUCGGACUUAACCCAGCUCGGAACCAGAAAGAGCGCAUCGAUCGAUCUUGACGCCACACUAGAUUAAUCGUAAGGGAAGGAAGCAUCGUCUGGAUUUGAAUGGUACAAAUUGAAACCCUUGUAACUUCCUACUACUCGAGGGCCAAGGAUUUCCCAACUUUGGAACAUAGAAAUUCGCAAUUUCGCAAAUUCAAUGAACCGCGUGCGAGACGGAAUGGCUCCUCGUUCGAACGAAUUAUGUAUAUUAAUUGGAAUAUUUUUAAGCAGGGAUUCAUAGUGCCACAGUUUCAACCUUUACGAUCUGAAUCGUCCUCCUUAAGUGAAAGAGGUAUUAGUUUCGUGUAGUCAUAUCUCGGGCCUUAACAAAUGAGAAAAUUAAAAAAUUGAAAACGUUGCUGCGAUGAGGAGGCAGCUUCAUUUUCUAUAAUAAUAAUUUGAGUUAGGCAACGAAAACCAGCUAAAAUCGAUUAUAAAUAUAAAUUCACGGUCAAACUAAUAAUCGUACUAAUCAAUUUUUGUAGCUUUCGAUACGAAACCUACGUCUUUCUUUCCUUUCUAAGAACUAUUAAUAACUAUAAAUAUUAUUUCAAUACUAUAGCUGCCUUCUUAUUACUGCAAAUGAAUCUAAAAUGAUUCUAGUUGCAGCUAGAUAUAUGGAGCCUUGAGGCUUUUCAUAUGAAUUAUAAAUUAUGAGUUAAUUGUUCCAAAUAAAAGUCUACGGUUGAAGAGAGGGAAAGAGUUAGAAAGGAGGUCACUGUGCAAUUAAGAAAGAAAUUUUUGACAUUAAUUUAGGAUAAUCAGACAGCUAUUCUAUAAUGGAAUUUAGCUAUUAUCUAAAGCACGAUAAUUAAAUUUACUAUGUUGUAGAAAUAGCGUAAAGAAGUGUCAUAAAGUAAUUAAAAUUCUUAUGCUGAAGAAGAUUUAACUAAUGUCUUAAAAAAAUAGCUGUUAGAACCUAGAAAGUCUGUAUUUCUGUGGACAAUAUAAACAGAUGUGUCGAAGGACAGACAGACGUAUUGUAAACUCAUGACGUACGAGCAAUUUAUGGAUACGGGGUGUGUUGUCCCUUGGGCCUGGUCCUUACAUUGACCUACUAUCAUCACCUAAUCUCCCAAUGAUCAAGGUGGAUUACAUACACGAGAUCCUACGGGAAUUACCUAAUAAUUACCUAAGGUCAAAGAUGUCCACUGAUUCGUGAAAGAUUUCGAAUUAUUUUGCAAUUUACAUCUACAGUAAAUCCCUUGCUAAUUCUAUUAAAUUAAUGCAACAAAUAUCCAAUCACAACUUUCUUUAUUUCAAUGGAUUCAUAACUAAAAAGUAUUGCAAAGUGGAAGAAUUCCAAGUUGAUAUCCCUUCCGAUUGACUUAAUUUAAUUUCCCUAUAGAAAGAACAAAUUUAUUUCUAUUGCAUAUCCUAAUAUUAAACGUACGAGUAACCUCGUAACAUUUAAAUUUUGCUCGAUUGAAAAAUCAAAUUCAUAACAUAAAAUCUUAGUAACUUUCCGAUAACUGGAUCGAAUAUCUCUACAAAUAUAUAUAUUUUUAUACAAUUUAAUACGAUUAAAGAUCUGAAACCCAAGCAUUUGUUUUUCCCACUUGGUAUUGCAACGAGUAUUCUACUCGUCUACUAUUACGUAUCAUAUUCAUCGCGUGCAUUUUACCUUUAAAUUCCCCAUAGAUGCAUUAAAAUCCAUAAUCCGCUAAUAACUUUCCCAAUUUCCUCGUAAGCGUUAUCGUUGUAACGAUCGCAAACGAGGGUGUGUCCCUUUCAAAGUUCGCUUAAAAAUAAUAAAAGCGAAAGAGCAGAAAAAUUACACGCACAAUAGCGUCGCAAGAUACUGGAACAGAAAGAGUAGAGGGGUUGUAAUGUGUGCCAAAAAACGCGGCUGGUAAAACGAGGAGGGAGAUCGAUCGUCUGGUUUACGCAAACGUAUUGACGUCACGUGAAUGCGGCCGUGUUAUCGGAUUGAGGCAUUGCCGCGUUGUUACGUAACGCGUGAGCAAAAGGCGAGUUCCACGACGACAGGAUCGUUAAUAACCUCGCAUUACAGCUUUCGCCGCGAUAUACGACCGCUGCGGCGCCCUCAGCCCGCGGGGAGACCCUCUGCGAUCCCUAUUUCACGGCGAAUUAAUUAUCAACGUGGCCGCGUAGACUGUGAAACAGAGACGACGCCAGUUUCACCGCUUCCACCGAUGACAGUGCAUCGGAAGCGCAAUAGAAUUACGGACCUCAAUAAUCAUCCUGAUAAAUAAUUCUAAGCCUUGUUCUCUACGUUUCGUGCACCUGUUUCGAGACACGUUCAACCUAUCAGUAGCUCGUGCUAGUAGUUGAAACUGGUAGUGGAAACCUUUUACGAGUAUGUCAUGCGUGUUGUAUGAAACAUUUUUUCAUUGGCGCUGUUGCGAGUAGAUGGCAGAUUUUUAUGGAAAUUCAUAUUUUCAUAAAUACAAGCGAAAAACAAAGCAAACACUUGUUUCAUCCGUCGAAUGUUACAACGAGUAUUAUAUUUUGAAUUCUUAUGUAUUUUUACGUUUUACGUAUGUAAAUUCGAUGUUCGUGUUUUUACAUGUUUCAAUUUUUUAAAUGCGCAUUAAAAGUCUGCGGUCCACGAUGAUUAUAUCGGCAGAGUUUGGAAGAAAUUUGAAGAUACGUAUGGUAAUUAUAUUUACGAUCAUUAGGAUCACAAAAAAUAUGUAACAAAUCGACUGUCGUGCAACUUUUAUAUAUUUCUCUCUGCGAGCAAAUACAUUGAAUACACUGUAACAUUUAAUAUUUGCAAAAUAAAUAUUGUAGUUGCAUCAAUAUUUUUUUUUGGCAAUGUUAUCUAUAUCAUUCACGUUGUUGAAAAUUUGUUAUUCCAUAAAAUUUAUCUUAUCUUAAACAUUGUGCAAAAUUUACUAACCACCGAUGAGCAUCGUGGCAGUCAAUGUGUUAAACAUUCAACUAUUAAUAAAGCACGACAUUCAACCUUUAA